rnacentral:lncRNA from 1 species
CCCAAAAUCCAAAGAUACACCCACUUUCAUCUCUCAUCCAAUGAAUACUCUCUUUUCUUUUCUUUGAUUCAACUGACCAGGGACAAUCUUUUUGAUUUUUUCUUAGCUCAACUCUUUUCUUUUGUUUUCCCCCACUCACUUAUUGUUUUUUUUUUUUUUUUGGAAGGAGGUUAUGUUGAUACUCUAGAGCUUUUCCUUUCUAACUUUCUUUGUCCCUAGGGGUUUCUUACUUUAAACACUCUUUUUGGUUGAAGAUUCUCCAUAUUAACAAUGAGAGUUGUGUUAAUAUUUUCCAAACUGUUGGACUUCUCUUGCUCUCUGAAAUCCGCCAUACUUUCUACUUCAUCUCUAUGCAUCUUUGUUUCUUCUUUGUAUAUCUACAUCUAUGUUUCUUAUAUGUUUCAUUUUCAUUACUUUCUUUCUCUAUCAUUUACUCUUGCUUCAUCUCUCUCCCCAAUUUUCGCCAUCUCUGUCUCAUAAAUAAGAGAAACAUAAAACCUAAUUAAAAUUUUCUCCAAAUCAGUUUGAGUUUAG